GGCCUGGUGGUGUAACGGUAACAUCCCUGCUUGCAUUGCCAUUUCUGAACAAUUUCAGCAGAAGCUCCUUGUUCGACUCAAGGUCAGGUCU